UGCGUAGGCGGCUUUCUAAGUCGGAUGUGAAAACUCUGGGCUCAACCCAGAGCCUGCAUCCGAAACUGGAGAGCUUGGGUUCUGGAGGGGAAAGCGGAAUUCCUGGUGUAGCGGUGAAAUGCGUAGAUAUCAGGAGGAACACCGGUGGCGAAGGCGGCUUUCUGGACAGAUACCGACGCUGAGGCACGAAAGCUAGGGGAGCAAACA
rnacentral:rRNA from 1 species